rnacentral:rRNA from 1 species
GGGUUGUGAGGUUAAGCGACUAAGCGUACACGGUGGAUGCCCUGGCAGUCAGAGGCGAUGAAGGACGUGCUAAUCUGCGAUAAGCGUCGGUAAGGUGAUAUGAACCGUUAUAACCGGCGAUGUCCGAAUGGGGAAACCCAGUGUGUUCCGACACACUAUCAUUAACUGAAUCCAUAGGUUAAUGAGGCGAACCGGGGGAACUGAAACAUCUAAGUACCCCGAGGAAAAGAAAUCAACCGAGAUUCCCCCAGUAGCGGCGAGCGAACGGGGAGGAGCCCAGAGCCUGAAUCAGUGUGUGUGUUAGUGGAAGCGUCUGGAAAGGCGCGCGAUACAGGGUGACAGCCCCGUACACAAAAAUGCACAUGCUGUGAGCUCGAUGAGUAGGGCGGGACACGUGGUAUCCUGUCUGAAUAUGGGGGGACCAUCCUCCAAGGCUAAAUACUCCUGACUGACCGAUAGUGAACCAGUACCGUGAGGGAAAGGCGAAAAGAACCCCGGCGAGGGGAGUGAAAAAGAACCUGAAACCGUGUACGUACAAGCAGUGGGAGCCCUGAUUUAUCAGGGUGACUGCGUACCUUUUGUAUAAUGGGUCAGCGACUUAUAUUCUGUAGCAAGGUUAACCGAAUAGGGGAGCCGAAGGGAAACCGAGUCUUAACUGGGCGUUAAGUUGCAGGGUAUAGACCCGAAACCCGGUGAUCUAGCCAUGGGCAGGUUGAAGGUUGGGUAACACUAACUGGAGGACCGAACCGACUAAUGUUGAAAAAUUAGCGGAUGACUUGUGGCUGGGGGUGAAAGGCCAAUCAAACCGGGAGAUAGCUGGUUCUCCCCGAAAGCUAUUUAGGUAGCGCCUCGUGAAUUCAUCUCCGGGGGUAGAGCACUGUUUCGGCAAGGGGGUCAUCCCGACUUACCAACCCGAUGCAAACUGCGAAUACCGGAGAAUGUUAUCACGGGAGACACACGGCGGGUGCUAACGUCCGUCGUGAAGAGGGAAACAACCCAGACCGCCAGCUAAGGUCCCAAAGUCAUGGUUAAGUGGGAAACGAUGUGGGAAGGCCCAGACAGCCAGGAUGUUGGCUUAGAAGCAGCCAUCAUUUAAAGAAAGCGUAAUAGCUCACUGGUCGAGUCGGCCUGCGCGGAAGAUGUAACGGGGCUAAACCAUGCACCGAAGCUGCGGCAGCGACACUGUGUGUUGUUGGGUAGGGGAGCGUUCUGUAAGCCUGUGAAGGUGUGCUGUGAGGCAUGCUGGAGGUAUCAGAAGUGCGAAUGCUGACAUAAGUAACGAUAAAGCGGGUGAAAAGCCCGCUCGCCGGAAGACCAAGGGUUCCUGUCCAACGUUAAUCGGGGCAGGGUGAGUCGACCCCUAAGGCGAGGCCGAAAGGCGUAGUCGAUGGGAAACAGGUUAAUAUUCCUGUACUUGGUGUUACUGCGAAGGGGGGACGGAGAAGGCUAUGUUGGCCGGGCGACGGUUGUCCCGGUUUAAGCGUGUAGGCUGGUUUUCCAGGCAAAUCCGGAAAAUCAAGGCUGAGGCGUGAUGACGAGGCACUACGGUGCUGAAGCGACAAAUGCCCUGCUUCCAGGAAAAGCCUCUAAGCAUCAGGUAACAUCAAAUCGUACCCCAAACCGACACAGGUGGUCAGGUAGAGAAUACCAAGGCGCUUGAGAGAACUCGGGUGAAGGAACUAGGCAAAAUGGUGCCGUAACUUCGGGAGAAGGCACGCUGAUAUGUAGGUGAAGCGACUUGCUCGUGGAGCUGAAAUCAGUCGAAGAUACCAGCUGGCUGCAACUGUUUAUUAAAAACACAGCACUGUGCAAACACGAAAGUGGACGUAUACGGUGUGACGCCUGCCCGGUGCCGGAAGGUUAAUUGAUGGGGUCAGCGCAAGCGAAGCUCUUGAUCGAAGCCCCGGUAAACGGCGGCCGUAACUAUAACGGUCCUAAGGUAGCGAAAUUCCUUGUCGGGUAAGUUCCGACCUGCACGAAUGGCGUAAUGAUGGCCAGGCUGUCUCCACCCGAGACUCAGUGAAAUUGAACUCGCUGUGAAGAUGCAGUGUACCCGCGGCAAGACGGAAAGACCCCGUGAACCUUUACUAUAGCUUGACACUGAACACUGGUCCUUGAUGUGUAGGAUAGGUGGGAGGCUUUGAAGUGUGGACGCCAGUCUGCAUGGAGCCGUCCUUGAAAUACCACCCUUUAAUGGCUGGUGUUCUAACGUUGGCCCGUAAUCCGGGUUGCGGACAGUGUCUGGUGGGUAGUUUGACUGGGGCGGUCUCCUCCUAAAGAGUAACGGAGGAGCACGAAGGUUGGCUAAUCCUGGUCGGACAUCAGGAGGUUAGUGCAAUGGCAUAAGCCAGCUUGACUGCGAGCGUGACGGCGCGAGCAGGUGCGAAAGCAGGUCAUAGUGAUCCGGUGGUUCUGAAUGGAAGGGCCAUCGCUCAACGGAUAAAAGGUACUCCGGGGAUAACAGGCUGAUACCGCCCAAGAGUUCAUAUCGACGGCGGUGUUUGGCACCUCGAUGUCGGCUCAUCACAUCCUGGGGCUGAAGUAGGUCCCAAGGGUAUGGCUGUUCGCCAUUUAAAGUGGUACGCGAGCUGGGUUUAGAACGUCGUGAGACAGUUCGGUCCCUAUCUGCCGUGGGCGCUGGAGAACUGAGGGGGGCUGCUCCUAGUACGAGAGGACCGGAGUGGACGCAUCACUGGUGUUCGGGUUGUCAUGCCAAUGGCACUGCCCGGUAGCUAAAUGCGGAAGAGAUAAGUGCUGAAAGCAUCUAAGCACGAAACUUGCCCCGAGAUGAGUUCUCCCUGAGACUUAGAGUCUCCUGAAGGAACGUUGAAGACGACGACGUUGAUAGGCCGGGUGUGUAAGCGCAGCGAUGCGUUGAGCUAACCGGUACUAAUGAACCGUGAGGCUUAACCUUACAACGCCGAAGGUGUUU